GGCCCAAUGGUCUAGUGGUACGAUGCUCGCUUUGGGUUGGCUUCGGCCGGACACUUGCGAGCGGUCCUGGGUUCGAACCCCAGUUGGGCCC